UGUAACGAUAAAACAGGUGAGAAUCCUGUUCGCCGAAAGCCUAAGGUUUCCUGGGGAAGGUAAAUCCGCCCAGGGUUAGUCGGGUCCUUAGUCGAGGCCGAAGGGCGUAGACGAUGGGCAGCAGGUUAAUAUUCCUGCACCAUGUUGCUGGACAAAGUCAGUGACGCAUCUUCAAGGGUCAUCCCACGGCUAGUAGGGUGGGUCCCGCAAGGGCGAGGCCGAUUUAUGAUGCCGAAGUGGCUGGAGAAGAUGCCGAGAAAUAGCUGGCGUAGGUUGAAAGCAGCAUGUCCGUACCGCAAACUGACACAGGUAGGCGAGGAGAGUAUCCUCAGGCGCUCGAGAGAACCGUCCUUAAGGAACUAGGCAAUUUUCCCCCGUACGUUCGCAAGAAGGGGUCCCUCCGCGUGUGCUUGAUUUAUCAGGUACAUGGCGAGGGCGCAGAGAAAUGGCUCUGGCGACUGUUUAUCAAAAACACAGUUCUGUGCUAACUCCGAAAGAGGAUGUAUACAGAAUGACGCCUGCUCGGUGCCGGAAGGUUAAGGGGAGGGGUUAGCCGCAAGGCGAAGCUCUAAACUGAAGCCCCGGUAAACGGCGGCCGUAACUAUGACGGUCCUAAGGUAGCGAAGUUCCUUGUCGGGUAAGUUCCGACGUGCAUGAACGGCGUAACGACUGGAGCAGUGUCUCAAGGACGGACUCGGUGAAAUUGUAGAUGUGGUGAAGAUACCACAAUCCCGCAGCAACACGGCAAGACCCCAUGAACCUUUACUGUAGCCUGGUAUUGAUGCCUGGCAUGGCAUGCGUAGGAUAGGUGGGAGGCUGUGAAGCUCCGGUUCCGGCCGGGGCAGAGCCAACGUUGAAAUACCACCCUUGUUAUGUUAGUCACCUAACCAUGACCCGUGAAUCCGGGCAUAGGACAGUGCUAGGUGGGCAGUUUGACUGGGGCGGUCUCCUCCCAAAGGGUAACGGAGGAGUUCAAAGGCACACUCAGCGUGGUUGGCAAUCACGUUUAGAGCGCAAGGGUACAAGUGUGCUUAACUGCGAGUCUGAAUGCGACGAGCAGAUGCGAAAGCAGGACCUAGUGAUCCGGCGGUUCCGUAUGGAAGGGCCGUCGCUCAACAGAUAAAAGGUACUCUGGGGAUAACAGGCUGAUGACUCCCGAGCGUUCAUAGCGGCGGAGUCGUUUGGCACAUCGAUGUCGGCUCAUCACAUCCUGGGGCUGAAGGCGGUCCCAAGGGUCGGGCUGUUCGCCCGUUAAAGUGGUACGCGAGCUGGGUUCAGACCGGCGUGAGCCAGGUCGGUCCCUAUGUGCUGUGGGCGUAGGAAUCUUGAGGGGCCAUUUCCUUAGUACGAGAGGAUUAGGAAGUACUGACCUCUGGUGCACCGGUUGUUCCGCUAGGGGCAUAGCCGGGUAGCUACGUCGGGAAAGGAUAACCGCUGAAAGCAUCUAAGCGGGAAGCCCACCCCAAGAUAAGGAUUCCGUGGUCUUCGGACCUGAAGUGCCCUGGUAGACCACCAGGUUGAUAGGCCGGAGGUGUAAGGCGAGAAAUCGCUUCAGCUGACCGGUACUAACGCACGACGACUUGACCAU
rnacentral:rRNA from 1 species